rnacentral:rRNA from 1 species
AGCAGCCGCGGUAAUUCCAGCUCCAAUAGCGUAUAUUAAAGUUGUUGCAGUUAAAAAGCUCGUAGUUGAAUUUCGGGGUCAGUAGGUCGGUCGUGCCACUGGUAUGAACUGGUUUUACUGAUUCCUCCCUCUUGAAGAACUGUAAUGCCAUUAAUUUGGUGUUGCAGGGAAUCAGGACUGUUACUUUGAAAAAAUUAGAGUGUUUAAAGCAGGCUUUAGCUUGAAUACAUUAGCAUGGAAUAAUGAAAUAGGACGUUUGAUCCUAUUUUGUUGGUUUCUAGGAUUGACGUAAUGAUUAAUAGGGAUAGUUGGGGGCAUUAGUAUUCAAUUGUCAGAGGUGAAAUUCUUGGAUUUAUUGAAGACUAACUACUGCGAAAGCAUUUGCCAAGGAUGUUUUCAUUAAUCAAGAACGAAAGUUAGGGGAUCGAAGACGAUCAGAUACCGUCGUAGUCUUGACCAUAAACUAUGCCGACUAGGGAUCGGAUGAUGUUAAUUUUUUAAUGACUCAUUCGGCGCCUUACG